AAAAUUGGACAAUGGGGGCAACCCUGAUCCAGCCAUGCCGCGUGUGUGAAGAAGGCCUUCGGACUGUAAAGCACUUUAAGGUGGGAGGAAGGGCUUUAGGCUAAAACCCGGAACUUUUGACGUGACCAACAGAAGAAGCACCGGCAAACGCCGUGUCAGAAUCCGCGGUAAUACAUAGGGUGCAAGCGUUAAUCGGAAUUACUGGGCGUAAAGCGCGCGUUGGUGGUUCAUUAAGAUGUGUGUGAAAUCCCCGGGCUUAACCUGGGAACUGCUUUCAUAACUGCUGAGCUACAGUACGGUAGAGGGUAGUGGAAUUUCCUGUGUAGCGGUGAAAUGCGUAGAUAUAGGAAGGAACACCAGUGGCGAAGGCGACUACCUGGACUGAUACUGACACUAAGGUGCGAAAGCGUGGGGAGCAAAC
rnacentral:rRNA from 1 species